UAUAAUUUAGUUUAAGAAAAAUGUUUAUUUUUGGUAUAAAAGUUUGUGUUAUAAG
rnacentral:tRNA from 1 species